rnacentral:rRNA from 1 species
UGGGGAAUCUUGCACAAUGGGCGAAAGCCUGAUGCAGCAACGCCGCGUGCGGGAAGAAGGCCCUAGGGUUGUAAACCGCUUUCAGCAGGGAAGAAGAUGACGGUACCUGUAGAAGAAGGUGCGGCCAACUACGUGCCAGCAGCCGCGGUGACACGUAGGCACCAAGCGUUGUCCGGAUUUAUUGGGCGUAAAGAGCUCGUAGGCGGUUCGGUAAGUCGGGUGUGAAAACUCUGGGCUCAACCCAGAGCCGCCACCCGAUACUGCUGUGACUUGAGUUCGGUAGGGGAGCGGGGAAUUCCUGGUGUAGCGGUGAAAUGCGCAGAUAUCAGGAGGAACACCAGUGGCGAAGGCGCCGCUUCUGGGCCGAGACUGACGCUGAGGAGCGAAAGCGUGGGUAGCAAACA